AUACUUCCAAGACUGACAUCCUUAAGGGCAUUAUCAUUGUCUCGUUACUAUAUUGAUGAGUUGCCAAAUGACUUGUUUAUCAAAUUAAAUCUCCUCAGAUUUUUGGACCUUUCUCGGACAGAUAUUAGACAGUUGCCAGAUUCUAUUUGUGCAUUGUAUAACUUGGAAACACUUCUCCUGUCAUCUUGUCAAAAUCUUGGGGAGCUACCGCUGCAGAUGGAGAAGUUGAUCAACUUGCGUCACCUCGACAUAACCAACACUCUUCGCUUCAAGAUGCCGCUACAUCUGAGCAAGUUGAAAAGUCUCCAAAUGCUAGUGGGAGCCAAGUUUCUUAUAGGUGGUAGCGGUGAUUUGAGAAUGGAAGAUUUGGGUGAAGUACAUAACUUGUAUGGAUCUCUAUCAGUUUUAGAGUUGCAAAAUGUGGUUGAUAAAAGGGAAGCUCUCAAGGCAAAGAUAAGGGAGAAGAAUCAUGUUGACAAGUUAUUAUUGAAGUGGAGUGAAAGUAGUACUGCCGCCGCCGAUUCUCAAACUGAAAGAGAGAUACUUGAUGAGCUACACCCACACACAAAUAUUAAACAACUCCAAAUCACCGGAUAUAGAGGGACAAAAAUUUCAAAUUGGCUAGCUGAUCCUUUGUUUCUUAAGCUUGUAGAAUUGUCUCUUAGCAACUGCAAGGACUGUGAUUCUUUGCCAGCACUAGGACAGCUUCCUUCUUUGAGAUUCCUUUACAUUAGAGGGAUGCAUGGAAUAACAGAGGUGAUGGAAGAAUUCUAUGGUAAUUCAUCCUCCAAAAAGCCUUUUAACUCUCUUGAGAAGCUUGAAUUUGCAGAUAUGCCAGAGUGGAAGCAAUGGCACGUACUAGGAAGUGGCGAGUUCCCUUUACUUGAGUACCUUUCAAUUAAAAAAUGUCCAAAGUUGAUGGGGAAGUUGCCUGAAAAUCUUUGUUCUCUGACAAAAUUAAAAAUUUCAGAGACACCUCUUUUUGAGGAAGCUCAACUGUUUAGAUCCCAAUUUGAGGGAAUGAAGCAGAUUGUUGAAUUAGAUAUUAGUGAUUGUAACUCUCUUACUUCCUUACCUUUUAGCAUACUGCCCAGUUCCUUGAAGAUAAUAGACAUAUAUAGGUGUGAGAAAUUGAAAUUGGAGGAGCCAGUUGGUUAUUGUAAUAUGUUUCUCGAGGAAUUGAAACUCCGACAUUGUGAUUGUAUAGAUGAGUUUCUCCCAAGAGCACGCAAAUUGUCUAUUUCGAGUUGCCAGAACGUUACUAGGUUUUUGAUUCCUACUGCCACUGAAAGUCUCUGUAUUUUUAGUUGUAAGAAUCUUGAAAUACUUUCGGUGGCAGUUGAGUCUGCGAUGACGUCUUUGGAAAUUUGGGAUUGUGAGAAGCUCAAGUGUCUGCCAGAAAUAGAGCUCUUCAAUUUACAAGUCCUUAAGAUCAGUGAUUGCAAGAAACUCGUGAACGGCAGAAAGGAGUGGUGUUUACAGAGAUUCCCAUGUCUCACAGAGUUAAGCAUCUACCAUGAUGGAAGUGACGAAGAGAUCCAACAUUGGGAGUUGCCUUCCUCUAUUAAAAGACUUACCAUGAAGAAUCUGAAAACAUUAAGCAGCCAAGUUCUCAAAAGCCUCACCUCUCUUCAAUAUCUAUCUAUUGCUGAUUUACCUCAAAUUCAGUCACUGCUGGAAGAAGGUCGGCUUCCCUCCUCUCUUUCUGAGCUACAUUUAUAUCACCAUGAUGAGCUCCAUUCACUACAUCUUUGCCACCUCACUUCACUUCUAAGUCUACACAUCUUUAAUUGCCCUAAUCUCCAAUCACUCUCCGAAUCAACACUGCCCUCCUCCCUCUCUCAGCUGACCAUAGAUGAUUGCCCUAAUCUCCAAUCACUCUCCGAAUCAACACUGCCCUCCUCCCUCUCUAAGCUGACCAUCCGGAGAUGCCCUAAACUUCAAUCACUCUCCGAAUUAGCACUGCCCUCCUCCCUCUCUCAGCUGACCAUAGAUAAUUGCCCUAAUCUCCAAUCCCUUCCAGUAAAAGGGAUGCUCUCUUCCCUCUCUGAUCUAUAUAUUCACAACUGCCCAUUGCUCAAACCACUACUAGAAUUUGACAAGGGGAAAUACUGGCCAAAUAUUGCUCAAAUUCCCACCAUAUUUAUCAAUAGGGAAUGCAUGUGAUGAUUAAAACAAAUGGUGCUCCCACUGAUGUAAGUUAUUCUUUUCCCUCAGAAACUUGUUAUUUUUGUUUUCUUCACUUUUCUUUUUUGCUAAUUUUUUUCCUUUUCUUUUUUUAUAUCCUGUUGAGCAGUGUGGAAUGUCUUUUGCUCAAUCCACACCGAAAAUUGCUCAUACUUCCACCAUAAAUGUUGAUUGGGAGAACCUGUAAUGAUUAUCACAAGUGGUGCUCCGAUAGAUAGAUGUAAGUUAUUCUAUUUCCUUAGUAUCUUUCCAUUUUUGGUUAAAUUCUUUUUCUUUGUUACAUCUUUUUGACCAGUGUGUAGCAUCUAUUGCUUCCGUGAAGUCGAGGAAAUAGCUAUAGAUCAGGAUAAACUCUUUAUAUUUGCAUUGAGACAUUGUAAAAGAAAAUCAUAUAUUGCUAUAAGUGGGAACAAAAAAGUUAAAAGUUGAUUUACGAUUUUACCCCUACUAUAAAUUAAAAGAAUAUUAGGAAAAAGUUAGAUUAAUCGUUUUACCCCUACAUUAAAUUAAAAUGUUAUAAGCUAUUAAUAAAUUAAAUAUUAAAUAAUAAUUAUAUCAUACUAUUAUAUUAUUAUACUAAUGCUAAUCAGUAUAUACCUGCUUGUUAAUUUUAUCCAUUUUUGGCUUUUGAUUUUCUUCCUAAUCUAGAUUACUCUCCCAUUACCUAUGAACAUUCACUUAUUGCUAUAAUAAUAAUAUUAAAGAAGGUGAAUGAAGAGUUGCACAGAAUUAAUUAUGAGAAAUGUUCACUUAUUGCUCCAACAAUAAUAAUGAUGAAAAAGGAGAAUGAAGAGUUGGGGUAAUUUCUAUCCGAGUCAAUAUUAUAUUUGUAUAGCAAAGAGGUCACUCAAUGGUUAUAUAGCAAAAAUGCAUGAUUGUUAAACAAACUUUUCAUUUCACUCUAAAUACAUUAGUUAUCACAAAUCACUUUCAUUAUAUUCUUUUAUUUUUUACAGGAGAAAAAUGUACAUAUACAUUCUAAAACUUCAUACAGAGCUUGCAAUGUGAUGGGAACGGAUGUUUAAAAUCUUUGCGGAGGUUGAAAUUCAUCUUUUUAUAAAGAUGGCCUUCUAACAAGCAUAAUAAGUAACUACUACAUUUUCAUGUUUUGAAAACUGAUUUUUUUAAUAUUUAAUUUUUAGGCAAUUAUUGAAGGAAUUCAGCAAGUUUUUACUGAUUUACAUACUUUGGGUAAGUGAGAUGGAAACUCUCUUCUUCCUUUCUUUGUCAUUUCACUUAAUUAUGUUAUGUAAGUUGAUCAUCGAAAAGGUGCUACAUUUAUCAUUCUUUCAUUAAAUUUAUUCCUCUUAUUUUAUUAGAGCUUAGUUUUUCGUGUUUCAUAUCAUACGUAGCUAGCUACAAUCUUUGGAAGAAAAUUAUUAUAGAUAAUAAUGGUCAUAUCUAAGUAUGUUGAUUACCUAAUGUUUUAUUGAAUCCAUGUUAGUAAUGUUUAGGUACACUUCUUAAAUUUAGAGCAAGAGUUCCUUGAUAUGUCAUAUACCAUCAGAUGCUAUAUUAUUUUAAUUAGUGUUACAUAAUUCAACAUAUCUUAUUUUCCAAAACAAAUAACUAAAAGUUAAAUGAAAAGAGUUAGUUGUCACCCUUGUAUUUGUAUAGAGAAACAUAUAUUUAGAUAUUUUAGUCUAGAAGAUUAUAUUUGAAAUCCUUCUUUUCAUUUAUUUUUGGAUGCAAAAGUAAGCUUUAUAUAGAAACAUAUUAAUCAAUACAAGAUUUAUCAUAUUUAUAAAAAUAUAAUGUGAUAAAUAUUUAUAUCGACAUGAUAUUAGACUUAUAUAAAUUUUAGAUCAUAAUAGAAGACAAACGUGCAGCGCACGUUUUCAGAACUAGUCUAGUAUAGGUAGGAAUUGAGAUAAUUUGCUCCAGAAAGUUGAUUGUUUAAUAUGUAUCAGCAGGAUGUUUAUAGCAAUUCAUUUAUGAUCUUGUGACAAAUAUCAGUCUUCAUCUUAGUUGGCUAUUACGACACACUUUUCUUGUCUAUUAACAUAUGUUCUCUCUCACAUCUUGUAGACUGAAAUAUCUCCACCAUAGAAGUCGAUGGAGAAUACAUUUAAUGAUUAAAGCGAAUGAUGCUCUCACAAAUGUAAGUUUUUCUUUGUCCUCAGAAGCUUUCUAUUUUUGUUUACUUCCCUUUGCUUUUCCUUUGUUAAGAUCUUCUUGAGCAGUAUGGAGUAUUUAUUGCCACUAUGAAGUCGAGAAAUCAUCUUCAGUUCGAGAUAAAUUUAAUUUUAGAUAACCAAUAAAAAAACAAAGGUGAAAAAAUCUUUAUAUUCGUGUGGGAACACUGUAAAAUGAAAUCUAAUAUACAUAGGAAUUAAAAUAAUCUGCUCCACAAAAUCUUGUUCUUUCCGUUUCAGUGAGUUUAGAGUUAUGCACAUGUUCACUAUUGAAUUCAAAGCUUUAAUAGAAUUCAAAGGUGUACAAUACACAAGGUUUGUUUCCUAUCUAUCAAAAAUAUAUAAAAGUUUGCCUCCCAAUAAAUUUAAUACCUAUAAACAUCAGCACUAUUCAAGUUUUUAUUAAUGAUUAUUGGAUAUCAACUUAGCAGUUUUUUUCUUUGUCAGGAUUUUGGUAACAGUAUAUGUAAGCUAUUACCGCUCUAGCUCAGUUUGUACCAGGAAAGUUCUGCUGCAAUUCUCUAUUGAAUAGACCGUUGCUACAAUGUGGUCUGACAGCAAAGUGUAAGUGAAUAAACAUAGUUUCGCAGUUUUGUCGCUGACUGUAAAUAUUAAGUUUAUGCUUUAAACUGUUUAAACAUAAAUCUGUGUGAUCAUUAGAAUGAUGUAUAUCUUUGAUAUUAAUGAUGUUUAAUAUUCUUUUCAAAAUAUAAAUUAUGUUGUGCUUAUCAUCAGACUUGCUGCAAAUGGGACGUACAGCUCUGAUGGAACCCAAAGGUACAUGAUAAAAAGUUUUUAAGUAACACACAAGAGAGAUAUUGACAUUAUGGUCAUAGAUUAUAAGGAAAGAUAUUACUUUUUCAUUGUUAGGAUUUUGACAAGGCUCGGUGCUCAUUUGGGAAGUGAAAAGUUUCGAAGGUCUCUCUGUUCAAGUCAAGAAGUGAAAGCUAUUGAACUAUGUAUGUAAUAGCUUGUAUUGUUUACUUUGGGUCCUAUGCUCCUUCGACUUUAAAAUGCCUCAUUUGGGUCUAAUGUCACUUCUUUUUAUUCCAACAAUCAAUAUCGUUCUUGCGUUUUGUUGAUGUGGUAUAUGCCUAGGCUGCUACAAUGUUGUUCUUUUUACUCUAGAUACCAAGACGGAAAGCAAGAGAUGACACAAUUAUUGAACUUUCUGUAUUGAGAAAUCGGAAUUUCUGGAAAACUAUACUAGUGAAUUAUAAUCCCGGGAGCCUUUCCCCUCAAGCUCUCAAGAAAAGGCAACAAAUCGUCACUCAAAUAAAUUAGUAGCGGGUUAUUUGGGAAGCGAAAAGUUUCGUAGGUCUCUCUGCUCGAAUUGAGAAGGGAAAGUUGCUUUCAUCUUAAUACCAUAUGGUCUGAUACAUCACUAAUCUCCACUGCUCGCAAUGGAUAUAAAUUACUGCUCUUUGCGGAUUGAGACUGACACACAAUUAACUAAUCUGGCUCAUAUAUGGACACGAGUCUCCACUCAUCUAUUAUCUUUGAUUAUAUUGGACCACCUUCGACACGAACCGUCCCUGUAAAUUUUCCAUUCAAGUUUAUGUGAAUAAACAAAGCAUUUGUGUUGAGUUCGAAAGAGAUUAGGGCGUCAUGCGCUAGCUUACAAUUGCAUAUUAUAUGUUAAUAAAUCAGAUAACAAAAACUUGUACUAAAAAUCAAAAUAUUAUUAUAUGAUUUGACCAAAUGACCUACAUAUUUAAAAACUAAUAAAAAGACAUUAAAACUUGAAAGAUUUCAAAGAAAUCUUGAAGAAUUAUUUGGGAAAUUUUUCUCUAUUUUCACUGAACCAAAAUUGUACAAAGAGUUGCUUACUUAUCCAUGUAAACUAAGGACUAGAAAGUCAAUUUAAAAGGAAGUAGGUAACCAACUCUGACUAUAUACUUUACAGCUCAUCAUAUUCUAAAAUAAUCUAAAAAAUCUCUUCUUAUACAAUGUGAAUUAAUAUAAGCAACGUUGUAUAUUGAAAUGGGCUGCUGAAAUGGCAUUUGUGUGCUUCAGAUGGGAUGAAACCCAAAGAUAAAAUAUCAGCCCCAAGAGACGUGCAUUCUAGAAUAAGGCUCUCAACCCGUGUCCGAAUAAAGCUCAUCUUCUUCAUUCUUGGUACUGCCAGUCGGUGAUCAUGAGUUCCAACAAAACUGUAGAGAGUAAAGACUAUCUGAACGAUUAUAUUGUGGAUGUUAUUAUGUUCAUAGUGUGAGAAGUUGGGUUUUCUAUUUAUAGGACGUUUAGAAUAAACCAAAUAUGGAAAAUAAUUAUAUUUUUUUUUCAGAAAAAAUUCAAGCAUUUAUGUUAAUACUUUGACUUUUCUUUUAUGAAAAUAAACUUCAAAUAAGGUAAAAAAAUCAAAGCAACCAAAAACAAAGGAAAAGAGAGAGAUUACAUAGUAUCACACAUAGCAAGGCAGCAAGGCUAAUAUGACACAAACAAGACCAUAGUAGAUAAGUAUGGUGCACGUCAUGGUUUAUUUUGUAAAACUACGUAUUAAAUGAAUAUAUUUUUUAGAAUUGAUCUAAUAUUACUUGUUAUCCAUGCUACUAAAAAUAAGAAGUUCAAGUCAUCAUCAACUAAGUUUUGAGUUGGUAAGAAUCACUGAUACUACAAAUUUUCUUGAUAAAAGAGUGUUUACAACUUAUUAAACCUCAUAGGUUUGAAAGCCAUGAAUCAAAUAAGAAUAAGAAGUCUGGGACCCAAUGGCAAUAUGUAACUCGUAAGUUUUGAAAGACAUUUUAUUAGAGAGAAAUUUACGUUGUUUCUAUGUUUGUGUUUUGUUGGAUGUUUGGUGAAAAAAGUAGAUCAUCUCCUAUUGCAUUCUUUAGUUGGUUUAUAACACAAUGAGUGAUUCAACAUCUAUUUAUAUUUUUGAUUUAGAAAUAUUAUUAUACACUUGUAGAUAAAACUUCCAACAACAUAGAAAUAUGUUAAAUCUGAUUUACUUAUGCAACAAAUAUUAUAUCUUACGGGUAGAACGAACAAGGAACAUGAAAACUAAAUGUUUUUGUUAUCGGGUUGACUAAACAGGAUACAGAAAAAUCAUGUCUUUGAAUUGCAUAACAAAGAGUGUACUGAUAUUUUAUACUUUAUAAUAUCAUCACACGAAUUUUAUACUGAAGAUGUGUGCCUUUUUGUUGUCAAUUUUUUUGCAGUGAUACAAAAGCAGAUAGUGAAGACAGGUCAAAGAUUCUACUUUGAUGAAUUCUUUUUCAAUUCUUCAUCAAGAGACGAUUUAGAGUUUUUGGUAAAACUUUCUCUUUCACCAAGAGUCUCCAGCAAAAUGGGCAAUAAUUAGUUUAUCAGGAGUUCAAGUAUAUCUCGAAUUGGUUAUGGGUUAUUGCAAGUGCUUUUGGUUUUUACGUUUCUUUUCUAAUUUUUGUGGUGUUUGAAACAGAUCAAAAAAUAUUUUUAAACACUUAUUUUUAGACCCAAAAGAAGUAUAAAAAUAAGCUAAAGGCCAAAGGUAGGUAUUCCCAACUUAUGAGUUUAGCUUUUAGCUUAUAAGAUACUUUUAAAAAGUUAAUCCAAACACCCUCUUAAACUUUUAAAUUAAUUUUAAUUAAUAAGAUGUUAGCUAUUUGUUUAUAAUAUAUUAUCUUGAUAUGGUUGUAAAAACUUUAUUUAUCAAUAUGAAUAUUUGAAUUGUUUAUUUCAAAAUUCUAAAAAUAUUUUUGAUAAAAAGUAAAAUAGGUUCUCUUUCUUUAUUUUUAAUUUAAAUUUUGAGUUUUUUUCUUACAAAAAGGUACAAAAUUUAUAUAAAAUAGAAUAAAAAGGCAACUUUAAAUUAUUAUUAUUAUGUUUAUGUGUAUAUAUGUAUACCUGGACACGUUCGUUGCACGUGUAUUCCAUAUUAAUUCUUAUAAAUUCAUAUUAUUUAAAAAUAACAAACUUUUAUCUUAUACAUAAUUCAAUAACAGUUUCUUAAAUUAAAAAAAUAUCAAUAUAUAGCUAAAGAUAAAAUUCCUCAUGUUCCUAAUCUCAUAGCACCUUUGUAAAUGAUAUCUCUUCGUGUAAUUUCAUCUCCAAAUAUAUUGUUUGCCACAUUUGUAUCAUUUCUCAAUAUUUUAACAAUAAAAAAGAAAAUAAUAUAAGAAGAUACAUUUAAAGAAAGUUUAUAGAACGAAAAGGAAAGUACAUUGAAUUAAAUAUAAAAGUGAGAGAAGAAGAAUAGCAAAUUGGAUAUCAUAUCAAUUGUUCUAAUGGCUCAUAAUAGUGGUUUAAAUUCCACAAUGUCAUUAUAAGUUGUUCAAAAUUGUAAAUGAAUAAAAUUAUUAAUGAUAAAAAUAGUGUGGUAGAGAAAGAAAUCAAGUGUGUGAGGCAUCUGAAAAUAAGUAAAUUCAUUAUUUAGAGCCAAUAUAUCUUAUAUCAUACUCUUUCAAAUAUGAUUUCUUUUUACACCUUUAAAAUUACUUAUUUUCUCUUUUUUCAUUUUCUUCUCUUCUGAAGUUGAUUUGCAAUCAAUCUCUGACGGGCAAUAUCCAUCUUUGUAAGUUGACUCCUAAAUAGUAACAGUGAAGAAAUGUAUUUUUCUCCAUGCCUUGAGAAUUCUUUUUUCUUUUCUCCCCAAUUAUUUUCUUUCACAAUCCACAAACUUUAGAUUUUGUAUGCAACUUAUAAUUGUUGUGAGCUUUUAUAAGGUGUAGUAAAAAUGAGAAGUCUAUACUUAAGUAUUACUUAUUAACAAUGGAAUCUCAAAGGAUCAAAACAGAUCAUAAUUACAACAUGCACUAAUUAUUUGGCAGAUGAAACAAUUCUUCCGAUUAUUACUCAAUUCAAUGCAAGUGAUCAGAUUAUAUUUAACAUAAAGCUUUGUUAUUAAUUUCAAGUUCUUCAAAUUCAUUAUGUUUUUAUCAUCUAAUGUUUAAUUAAUUAAAUAAUUUAUAACAUUUUAAUUUAGAAUAGGGGUAAAAUGGUAACCAAGCAUUUAUAUAUAUAUAAAAUAAAUCAACGAAGCAAUGUCGAAGGACACGCAUAUAGGGUGUGUCCGCUCCUGAUUAAGUUAAGGUUUUAUAUCUUUAUGAAUAUUAAAUUAUCUUCCAAAUUCUUUUUUUUUGGGGGGGGAGAAGGGGUCUACCGCAUAUGGCAAUUUAGAUCUCUAAAAUCCGCACCAAGAAGGGAAAAUCGUUGAAUCUUUUAAUUUGCUAGUAUUGUUCGCUUUGUGCUAGGCGCACACAAUUUUAAAAUAUUAUAUAAGAGUGAAAAUUAUUUUCGCUUUCCAACUUUGCUGUAAAAAUUGAACUCCUUUUCAAUUUUAAACAACUAGUAUACGUGCUCGUGUGUUGCGCAGUUAGUUGAUAAAUGCAAUUGUAAAUAUUAAUUUAUUGACAAUUUUAAAGUUUAACUUAUUAUUAAAUAAUAUUAUCAAAUAAAUGCUUCACAUUAAAUAUGUAUACAUAAUACCUUUAACAAUAUAUCAAAAUAAAAAAUAAAAAAUAAAGAUUCAAAUCCAGGGAAUUAAACACCAAUCAUCCUACAAAUAAAACUUCAAAUCAUUGAAAGUUAUAAAUAAAAAAAAGGAAAAAUAAUCAUCAAAAACUAAUGGCUUGCAAUAAUUAUUGAUAAGAGAUUUUAAUGCUUAAAAAGUUGCUAUAUCUAUUUAUCAAAUUUCACUGAUAGUGUUAAUUCUAAGUAUGAAAUUGAUUAUAGUGGCUUUGUCUCAACAACUACAAAGUCACAUCCAAAGAAGAAGGAAAAAAGUUAUAUUGUCAAAAUUUUUUAUGCAUAAAUAGAAAUAGAAAACAAAUAAAUUAUUUUACACUUUUGAUAAUAAGUGUUUCCUAAUUAUCUUUAUGUAAAUAUUUCAUUAACAUAUUCAUUUAUAUAAAAUUUAUAAAAGAGACUUCUUUUAAUACUAAUAAACAUAAACAAAUAUUAAUUAAUAAGCAUAAACAAAUAUCAACUAUUAAUAAAUAACUAAAUGUGUAUGAAUCUUUUUUAGUAAUUUGUAUAUUUAGUUCGUGAUUUAUAUUUUUUGAUUAGUUAAAAGAUCAACUGAUAAAAUAAAGUAUUUAAAUACUUAUGAUAAUAUGGUUAAACAUGAGGUAUGUAUCAAAAAAAAUAAUCUUAAAACAUAUUUAAUUUGACGUAAUUAUUUAAAAUAAUCAUAAUUAUUUAUUUCAUGAUUUUUUAUUUUUUAUUUAUUUAAAAUAAAUACUGAAAAAUAAAAUGUUAUUAACACAAAUUUUUAUUGAUUAUAGGACUGUGUAGUAAUGUAUUGGUUAUGGGGAGUUAUAAAAAUAUUUUUUUGUCUUUUCAUUAACGUAUUCAUUUAUAUAAAAUUUACAAAGAGACUCCUUUUAAAACUAAUAAGCAUAAACACAUUUUAAUUUAAUAGCAUAAAUUUAUUAUAAUUAAGUAAUUUAAUGUGGUGAGAAUGCAUGCUAAUUAGUACUAUGUGUUAAGAAUUUAUGUGUAAAAUACAUAUCGUGUAUUAUUUUUAGCUCCCAAUAUUAAACAGAACUUUAUUUCAUUCGAUUUGGACUCGGAACAUCUAAAACAAAUUAAGUUUUUUAUUUAUCUUUUUUUUCCAGAGAACUCAUUUUAUUGUUUCAUCAAUGACUUGAAUUCAUGUUUUUAGUGGAGGUACAGAGUGUUUAUCAACUGAGAUAAAGUAUCUAAAUUUUAACUAGUUUUAGAUAAGUAAAUUUUACCGCAAAAAAAAUCAAAUAUUUCAUAUCUGAAUACACAAUCAAAAUUAAAAGAUUUGACCUUUCAAAUUUUUUUUGUGUCUCGUAAACUAAAAAAACGAAUAAUAUUUAAGUAGUUAUGGUUCCUCAUGAAUAAAUUAUAUACGGAGUUCAAUAUAUUUCAUAAACGACACAUUUCAUUACAAUAACAACAUAUUCUAUAUAGUUCUACGUAUAAAAUGUGAUUUGAAAAUAAUAAAAUGUACGUAGACCUUACUCUGCUACGGAGGUAGAGAGGUAACGACACAAUUGAUCAUCAUUGCUUAGAAAAACUUACCUAAUUAACAUUUAAAAAUUAUUAUAGUUAACUAAUUAAUUGUCCUCUCAUCUGUUCCAAUUGACUGGACAGAUUUUAGUUAUAAUAUGUUAGUGAAAAAUUACAAAAUUACAAGAUUACAAUUGAAAAUAAAAAUGAAGAAAUAAAUCUCUUCAGAUUGAGGCGUGGAUAUGUCGCUCUCUUUAAGGAGAUUCAAGCCCACUUAAGCAAAUGUUUUUCAUCGGUCCAACAGUAGUCCUCUUUACUUGUCCCCUCCAGGAUACAACAGCCUAAUCACAAAGUGUAACUCAACAAAUUUUGGACAAGAGUUGAGUUCAAACCUCCACAAAAAGAACACCUUCCUUCAACUAAUAAAAACUCUCUUUUUGGACAAACUUUAUGCACUAUGAUCUAUAUUUUUCUUGUGUGUCAACCAAACAAAGACCACCACUAUUUAUAGUUGCGGAUGUCUUCCUAGCAAUGAAUAGGAAGAUAAUGGGUAGUAAAUAAUGAAGAUAAAUGGUAUUAGAAAUUACAUAUGUUAUAAGGUAUAAUGGAGAAAUAAAGAAUGAGAUAACAAAGAUUGAAUGAAAAAGAAUUAGUGGUCAUGGUUGACCACCUUCUGCCACUAACAGUAACCUCCAAUGGCCAACGUUUUGUAACCAUCAAAUAAAGGGUAAUAAUGCCUAAAUAACACAAGUGAGUAAUGCCUAAGGUUGCAGCAAUGAAAUAGAGAUUGCUCCAACACUUGUCAUUUGCCUCUCUCCCUAGAGAAUUUCGCUUGUCACUCUCCCAGAUCUCGCUCGUCACUCUCCCUCGCCCUCUCUCACUUUAUACAACACAAUGUAUAAAUUGCGUUUGUGUUUGUAUAAAGCGAGAGAAAACUGUAUAUAAAAAUACAAAUACAUAUAUUUUUGUCCUAUACACUAAUAAUUAUACAAAUACAGAUAUUUCCCUACCAGUUCUCUUUUGCCUUCCUCUCGUUCUCGCUUUAUACAAAUACAAUGUAUAAUUUGUGUUGUAUAAAUCGAGAGAGAGAGAUUUGAUAUACAAAUGUUUAUUUUGAUUCAAUUGUAUACAAAUUCAAAUUUUAUGCAGAUAUACAAACACAAUCAAGGAUACAUAUACAUAGUAGUUACAUAUAUGCUGGUCAACAUUUUAAUAUUAAUAUUUUAUAUAUUAAUUUGUUAAAAGUUUGGAGUCAAAUGGUGCCUUUGCUGUCAAGUUAUCCGUUGGUGGUAAUUCAUUUGUCUUAACAAUUGGAAAUAUAUUUGGAGCAUUACUCCAUUUGGAGUAAGUGCUGAUGUUACUGACUGUUUCUCUUGCAGCAUCGUUUAGUGGCAUCUUGGCCAUAAGUUCUCCAUAUUAUUUCUCCAUUAUCUCACUCUUUAUUCCUCCAUUAUACCUUGUAACAUAUGUAACUCGUAAGAUCACUAUCUUCACUAUUUACUACACCAUUAUCUUCCUAUUCAUGGCUAGGAAGACUUCUUCUAGUAUAAAUAGUGGUGGUCUUCAUUUGGUUUGGGAGAUACAAUACACACAAGAAAAAUAUAGAAUGCAUAAGUUUGUCAAAAAGAUAGUUCUUAUUAGUUGGAGGGAGGUGUUCUUUUUUGUGGAGCUUUGGACUCAACUCUUGUCCAGAGUUGUUGAGUUAUACUUUGUGAAGGCUGUUGUAUCCUGGAGGGGACAAGUCAAGAAGAAGUACUGCUGGACCGGUGAAAACAUUUGCUGCAGUGGGCUUGAAUCUCCUUAAAGAGAGCGAGAUAUCCGCGCCUCAGCCUGAAGAGAUUUAUUUUCUUCAUUUUAUUUUUCAAUUGUAAUCUUGUAUUUUUGUUAUCUUGUAAGUUUUCACUAACAAUUUUAAGGAGAUUCAAAAUGGCUACAAUUGAAAAAAAUGCGGAUGUCAAGAUGGGAGACCUUAACAAGCCAUUUCGGUUCAAUGGUAACCAUUUUAAGAGAUGGAAGGGUAAAGUACUUUUCUACUUGAGUCUUCUCAAUGUUUCUUAUGUGUUAACUGAGAAGAAUCCUAAUAAAAUAGACAUCACCUUUAUGAAUGAUGAUGAAACUAUUUCUCAUCUAGAGAAAGUGGAAAAGUACGAUGGUGAUUCCUAUAAGUGUCGGUAUUAUAUUCUUAAUUGUCUAUCUGAUAAUUUUUAUGAUUAUUAUGAUAGAACUUACUCUAGUGCAAAGAAAAUUUGGAAAGCAUUGCAGAGUAAGUAUGAUACCGAAGAGGCUGGAACGAAAAAAUAUGCAGCUAGUCGAUUUUUUCGUUUCCAAAUGAUGGACAACAAAUCAGUGGUAGACCAAGCGCAAGACUUUAUAAUGAUUGUUGGAGAGCUUAGGUCCGAGGAGGUUAAAAUUAGAGAUAACCUUAUUGUUUGUGGCAUAGUGGAUAAACUUCCACCUUCUUGGAAGGAAUUUCAAAAAACUAUGCUCCACAAACAAAAGGAAACCUCUCUUGAAACCUUGAUAAUGAAAAUCCGCAUGGAAGAAGAGGCAAGAGGCCAAGAUGCACUUUUACAAACAGAAGAGAACAACAUCACAACGAAGGUAAAUUUAAUUACUUCAAAUAAUGCUACUCCUGAAUCUCACAAAAAUACUUCUUUGAAGCCUAAGAAGAAAAAAUUCAAGAAAAAUAAUGGUAGACCUCCCAAGAAAAAUAAUGGUGAAAAUAACCAAGCACAAAAUCAACAAGUUCAAGACAAAGGACCGUGCUUUGUUUGUGGCAAGAGUGGGCAUAUUGCUCGAUUUUGCAGAUUCCAAAAAUGUGGUCCNNNNNNNNNNNNNNNNNNNNNNNNNNNNNNNNNNNNNNNNNNNNNNNNNNNNNNNNNNNNNNNNNNNNNNNNNNNNNNNNNNNNNNNNNNNNNNNNNNNNNNNNNNNNNNNNNNNNNNNNNNNNNNNNNNNNNNNNNNNNNNNNNNNNNNNNNNNNNNNNNNNNNNNNNNNNNNNNNNNNNNNNNNNNNNNNNNNNNNNNNNNNNNNNNNNNNNNNNNNNNNNNNNNNNNNNNNNNNNNNNNNNNNNNNNNNNNNNNNNNNNNNNNNNNNNNNNNNNNNNNNNNNNNNNNNNNNNNNNNNNNNNNNNNNNNNNNNNNNNNNNNNNNNNNNNNNNNNNNNNNNNNNNNNNNNNNNNNNNNNNNNNNNNNNNNNNNNNNNNNNNNNNNNNNNGUCUAAUCAAUAUGUNNNNNNNNNNNNNNNNNNNNNNNNNNNNNNNNNNNNNNNNNNNNNNNNNNNNNNNNNNNNNNNNNNNNNNNNNNNNNNNNNNNNNNNNNNNNNNNNNNNNNNNNNNNNNNNNNNNNNNNNNNNNNNNNNNNNNNNNNNNNNNNNNNNNNNNNNNNNNNNNNNNNNNNNNNNNNNNNNNNNNNNNNNNNNNNNNNNNNNNNNNNNNNNNNNNNNNNNNNNNNNNNNNNNNNNNNNNNNNNNNNNNNNNNNNNAGUUUUAGGGUUAAUCCCAAUGAUUAAAAUACAUUUUGAAAUGUGUGAGGCUUGUAGUAAAGCCAAAAUCACUAAAAGGCCUCAUUUUCAAGUUGAAAGAAAAACUGAUUUGUUAGAUUUAGUUCAUACUGAUAUUUGUGAACUUGGUGGAAUUUUAACUCGUGGAGGUAAUAGAUAUUUUAUCACUUUCAUUGAUGAUUUUUCUAAGUUUACAUAUGUUUACUUGAUGAAAAAUAAAAGUGAUACUUUUGAAAAUUUCAAAACUAUCUUCAUGCGGUUGAAAAUCAGUUUGGAAGAAAAAUAAAAAGAAUUAGAAGUGAUAGAGGCCGUGAAUAUGAGUCAAAUGAGUUUAAUUCUUUUGUUAGAUCAUUGGGAAUAAUUCAUGAAACUACUCCUCCUUACUCUCCUUCAUCUAAUGGAGUAGCGGAAAGGAAAAAUAGAACUUUGGUUGCCAUGCUUAUUGAGUCACAUGCACCUUUAAAUUUUUGGGGUGAAGCUAUUUUAACUGCUUGUUAUGCGUUGAAUCGUGUGCCUCAUAAAAAGUCUAAAUUGACACCUUUUGAAUUUUGGAAAGGUUACAAGCCAAGUUUGGGAUAUCUAUUAACGCAAUUUAAAUUAAAAUUCUAUUCAACUGUCUCCAAAAGCAUCACGUCUUGUUUACACUUGAAAUUAAAAAAUUACCUUAUAAGUUGUUAAAAAGAAAAUUUUCGUAGUAGAUUUUCAUGUGAGAGAUCAAACACUUAAACAUCAAUUAAAGAAUAUGAUGCAAAAAAUCAAGAAACUAAAUGGAAAGAGCUUUGAUCUUCAAGGGGAUUAAAACUUGUGAAGAAGAGUCCCUAUUACAUUACAACAUCAAUUUGACAUCAAAGUCCUAUAUUUCUUAUUAACAAUUUGCAUUAAGCCUAGUGUUUUAAUGAAGGACAAAAAGUUCAAUCAACAUUUCUAGAAAAGGGUCUUAUAGUAUAAUUGAUUGAUAGAUACUAGAAUUGCUAAUGUGCUUCUUCAAGGAACUCUGUCACUUAACAUUGAGCUCCAAUGAACAUUGAGAUGUUAUCCGCGAGUGUGUUGCACACAUGUACGUAUUUGGCUGAAUUUUCCAAAAAUGUAAAAAUAGCACAGCUGAACCAUGUAUUGAUGUUUAAUUAAAUGAUACAAGUCUUUGGUCACUAAAUGGUCCCCGUUUUUUACAACCACCAAUUGAGAAAGCAAUGAAUAGGCACUAAUUACAACUUCUUGUUUGCAAAUUUACUAGCAAAAGAGAGAGAAAUCAGUGAUCAUUCUUGUUUGCAAAUUACUCUUAGCUUUAACAGGUAAAGUGAAAUUGUUAGUAAUUUAACAUACAAACAUUCAUCUCCUGAAAUUUCUUAAAAUCAUUUUGUGUUUUGAUUUGCAGAUUUCAGUAAAAUGGAGGUUGGCUUAGCAGUUGGUGGUGCAUUUAUCUCUUCAGCUUUGAAUGUUCUCUUUGAUAGGAUUACUCAUCUGACCUAAGCAAGAGGGUGCUGCAUAACAUACUGCCAAGACUAACAUCCUUAAGGGCAUUAUCAUUGUCAGGUUAUUACAUUGAGGAGUUGCCAGAUGACUUGUUUAUCAAAUUAAAGCUCCUCAGAUUUUUGGACCUUUCUCAGACAUGUAUUGAAAAGUUGCCAGAUUCCGUUUGUGCAUUGUAUAAAUUGGAGACACUUCUCUUGUCAUUUUGUACCUCUCUUGAAGAGUUACCGCUGCAGAUGGAAAAGUUGAUUAACUUGCGUCAUCUUGACAUAAGCAACACUUGGGUCUUGAACAUGCUGCUACAUCUGAGCAAGUUGAAAUGCCUCCAAGUGCUAGUGGGAGCCAAGUUUCUUGUAGGUGGUUUGAGAAUGGAAGAUUUGGGUGAAGUAGAGAACUUGUAUGGAUCUCUAUCAGUUUUAGAGUUGCAAAACGUGGUUGAAAGAUGUGAAGCUGUGAAGGCAAAGAUAAGGGAGAAGAAUCAUGUUGAGCAGUUAUCAUUGGAGUGGAGUGAAAUUAGUAGUGCUGACAAUUCACAAACAGAAAGAGACAUUCUUGAUGAGCUACGCCCACAUGAAAACAUAAAAGAAGUCGAAAUCACCGGAUAUAGAGGAACAAAAUUUCCAAAUUGUCUAGCUCAUCAUUCGUUUCUUAAGCUAGUAGAAUUGUCUCUUAGCAACUGCAAGGACUGUGAUUCCUUGCCAGCACUAGGAGAACUUCCUUGUUUGAAAUUCCUUUCGAUUAGAGGGAUGCAUGGAAUAACAGAGGUGACACAAGAAUUCUAUGGCAGUUCAUCCUCCAAAAAGCCUUUUAACUGUCUUGAGAAGCUUGAAUUUGAAGAUAUGCCGGAGUGGAAGCAAUGGCACGUACUAGGAAGUGAGGAGUUCCCUAUACUUGAGAAGCUUUCAUUUAGAAAUUGUCCGAAGUUGAUGGGGAAGUUGCCUGAAAAUCUUUCUUCUCUGACAGAAUUGAGAAUUUCAAAGACGCCUCUUUUUGACGAGGCUGGACUGUUUGCAUCCCAACUUCAGGCUGACAGAAUCGUUGUAUUAUCUAUUGAGUAUUGUAACUCUGUUACCUCCUUACCUUUUAGGAUACUGCCCAGUUCCUUCAAGAGAAUAUGGAUAUCUCACUGCCAGAAAUUGAUAUUGGAGGAGUCAGUUGGUUAUUGUAACAUGUUUCUCGAGGAAUUGACACUGCAAUUUACAACAACUUCAGAUCAAGAAAUGCACAAAACUGGUGAAUGGCCGAAAGGAGUGGUGUUUACAGACACUCCCCUGUCUCAGAGAGUUAAGCAUCUACCAUGAUGGCGGUGACGAAGAUAUCCAACAUUGGGAGUUGCCUUCCUCUAUUCAGAGACUUACCAUAGACAAUCUGAAAACAUUAAGCAGCCAACAUCUCAAAAGUCUCACCUCUCUUCAACAUCUACGUAUUACUAAUUUACCUCAAAUUCAGUCACUGUUGGAAGAAGGCCGGCUUCCCUCCUCUCUUUGUGCGCUAAGUUUAGAUUACCAUCAUGAGCUCCAUUCACUAAGUCUUUCGCACCUCACUUCUCUUCGACGUCUACACAUCACUGCUUGCCCUAAUCUCCAAUCACUUUCCGAAUCAGCACUGCCCUCCUCCCUCUCUCAGCUGAUCAUCUUUGAUUGCCCUGAUCUCCAAUCACUUCCAGUAAAAGGGAUGCCCUCUUCCCUCUCUUAUCUAUCUAUUUCCAACUGUCCAUUGCUCAAACCACUCCUAGAAUUUGACAAGGGGGAAUACUAGCCAAAUAUUGCUCAAAUUCCCAUCAUAAAUAUCCAUGGGAAACACCUGUAAACAAAUGAUGCUUUGACAAAUGUAAGUUAUUCUUUUCCCUCAGAAGCUUUUUAUUUUUGUUUACUUCACUUUGUUUUUUUGCUAAUUCUUUUCUUUUUUUUUCUAUCUUGCCGAGCAGUGUGGAGCAUCUAUUGCUCAAACAACGGCUACUGACCAAAAAUUGCUCAUGCUUCCACCAUAAAUGCUGAUUGGGAGAACCUGUAAUAAUUAAAACGAGUGGUGCUCCUACGUACAGAUUUGUAAGUUAUACUAUUUCCUUAGUAUCAUUUGAUUUUUUGUUACUCCUCUUUGCUCGUCUGUUAAAUAUUUUGGACCAGUGUGUAGAAUCUAUUACCUCUGUGAAGUCGAGGAAAUAUCUAUAGAUCAGGAUAAAAUCUUUAUAUUUGCAUUGAGACAUUGUGAAAGAAAUCUAGUAUAGGUAGGAAUUGAGAUAAUUUGCUCCAGAAAGUUGGUUGCUUAAUAUAUGUCAGCAUGAUGUUUAUAACAAUUCAUAUAUUCUUGUGACAAAUCUCACUUUCCAUCUUAGUUGACUCUUAAGACUCCCUUUUCUUGUCUGUUAACCUAUGUUCCGUCUCAAAUCUUGCAGACUGGAAUAUUAUUUGCCAUCAUGAAAGUUGUUUCGCAUUUUUCAUUUCUUCUACAAAGAUAAAUGGGUCCAAGAAAUGCAACCUCACUUUCUCAAUCAGGAAACCAAGACCUUGAUAAGAGUUGCAUCAAUCUUGAAAUUUAAAGAAAUUGAGAACGACUUUGAAUGCCUACUUCCAUUAUUUACGCCAUGUUGUACCACAAUAAUUUCAAGUUUGAUGCGACUACAUAAUUACAUCAGUUUUUUUUUUUUUGGUAAUCAAAGAUCCAGAAUAUUGCAUCAGUUUUUUGGUCUUGAUAUUCAGAGAACUUUGGAGAUUAUGAAGUUUCCUUUGAGAACUUUGGAGAUUAUGAGUAAUAGUUUACACUGUCAUAAAUCAGCGAAAUAAAUUUACUUCGUUGGCACUCUCAUCAGUCAUCAGCCAGCGAAACAAAGAAACCAACACACCCAAUCUAAACCUGAAUUUUUUACAAAAUCAACACACCCAAUCUAAACCUGAAUUUUUUCUGUUGCAUUUUAAUGAUCCGACUAAAAAUAUUUAAAAGAUAGUUACUAAGUUUUAGUUUUUUUAAUGUAUUUAUAAUGUAAAGCUCUAUUUCAUUAGUUGAAAGCUGCAGAAGAUAAUGUUUUAAUGUCAAGUGCAAACACUUGGAGUUUUCGUUUGCCAAAUGAGACUCAUAUAAUAUGAGUUUUCUUAAUUAAGUAUUCAUAUUUUUGUAUUUCUAAUUAUGCAGUAAAAUCAAGGUGUUCAUUUAGUUCUCACUUUAAUUUAAGGUUGAAAAUGAUGAAUUUGAUUGGGGAAAUAGUGAAACAUUUUGAUUAUUCAUUUGCAAUAAAAGGAAAGAUACUUGAAGGUUUCUUUUUGUUAGAUUUUCUUCGUGGAAUUUGCUUAUGUUAGCUUUUUGGAGUUGUUCAGAAAUACCAUUAGAUCGGUUGAAGGCUAAUUGGAUAUAAUUGUCUUCAUGACGUGUUUGCUAAGUUUCUGUCGCCUAAUUCAGAUUCCACUGGAUUAGUUUCUACCCAAGAUUAUGCAUAUAUUUGGUGUAAGGUUGAAAAGUAAAAACCUCAAAUGAUAUAUGUAUUUUCUUUUUUAAAAAUACAAAGUUGCGAUGAAGAUUGAAAAUUUUGAUGGUAUUAAUUUUUAUAUGGAUCACCAUUGAGAACUUUGCCUGAGGUAUUAAUCUCCAUUUUCCCUAUUUAUAAAUGUUUCCUGUAGCUCCUAAUUGUGAUGCUUCAUUUACACAUUUUUUACAUUAUAUCUUAUUACAGGGAUAAAGUCUGUCAAGAGUCAAUUAGAUGUUACAGACUUGCAACUACUUGUUGUGCGUUAUAUAUAUAAUUGCAUAUUUCUUGGAUAUCAAGUAUUGGAUUGGUUUCUCAUUGCUUAUUGACUUAUACUCUUACGCGUUUUAAUUUCACAUCUCAAUUGCGAAAGAAAGAUAUCAUAUGUAGCUUGUGCAAAAUAUGAUGUCAUCUUACGUACUACUCUUUGUUGCAAUUUACCGUCCAGAUAACAUGACAGUUAAUUUUGUGGAAUUCUCCUUUGCUUGUCCUAUUAGCAUGAUUUGGUUGUUGAUCCAUUGUUGCUGUAGGAUUGUUCGAUCUUGUCUUUGUUGUUCUUAAACUUCGGUCAACAAAAAUCAUGAAUGGUCAGAAUAAUGCAAUUGAUUCGCAUCAGAGAUGAAUCUAAGGCUAAUAAACGGAUAGACGUAUCAUGAUGUAUUAUGACUGUUAGAGGGUGAACGAUUGAGAAGCCUUCAGUUCUUGAUUAAGCCUUCACAUUGCUUUGUUCUUCUAGCUUCUUCAGUAUAAAAAAAAUUGCUUGUGAGCCAUAUCUUGAAUUUGACACUUCUUCACCUGGCAGUAAGCUUAGAAAUCACUUUUUAUAGUCAAAUAGAACUAUAAAUAUAGACAGUGUAUGGUCUGUAAUAGAUCUACUUGUUUAUACUCAUCAUUAUGUCGAAGGGUUGUAAAGAAGAAGAUAUGAUACAGAACUUCAGAGAUCUUUCUCUAGUAGUCUGUAGUUUAUACGAUUAUCUUAAUGGAAGUCCCAAUUGACUGCUGCAUUCUAACCCUACCAUUGGUAGCCUAACUUAUACUUCAUAUCUUUAUCUUUCCUGUUAAAGAUACUUAUAAUUAACACUUGCAUUAUUUUUUACAACCGAGCUAGAAUUUUAGCUAUUUGUGUUAAAAUUGUGUAUUUGCAUUAAGAAAUCUACUUAUUGCUCAGAACCAAUUACUUUCUUUUUUUUGUAAAAUUCAGAAUUCAUAAACUCAAAUGCAAGUUUCACAAAUGAAAAGUCAUGUGCCUUUUAACUUGGAUUUUGGAGCCUACAAAAUAUGUGGAAAAUCCUGAAUAAAUGGGUCAGUGGAAUAAUAUGUGAGUUGUAAACCCAAAGAAGAUCAAAUGAAAUAUCCCAAUCUUGUAUUCCCAAGAAAUUGGAGAGAUUUUGUAAUGAAAGAAGAAAAUUGUGAAGCGGCAAUUAGGAAAGAAGAGAGAGUACACAUUCAGUGAACCAAAAGAGUGACAACAAAAGUCUUUUUCUAAGAACAUUCCCUUUUUGUAGAUUGUUUCCUAUAUUUCUUAUCCAAAUACAGUGUAUGCACAAGAGUGUAGCUAAAGCAAUACUGAACUAGUCACGUAUCAGGAUUUCUGAAGCAAUACAGCAUUCAAUUGUUGUCUCAGUUAGAUUGCUCCUUUUUUACAAAUGUAACCGUAGGUUUUCCAAAAUGAUAGCUUGAGUCCCUUUUCAACAAUCAUGUAAUGCUAAUUUUUUCUGUUGUUUUGCAUUUUCGUCUUUGCUAUUCGUAAGCCUGGGAUAAACUUUUGUCAUCUGGAAUUUGAAAAGUUAUGUUUUACUCCUUAUGAUAUGCAGAUAUGUAGUUGCAGAGAUAAAGCAUAUGACAAUCUGGCUCGGAAAGAACAGUUUGACAUCCAAGACAGUGAAGAGCUUAAUAGAAUGAAGGAAGAAAAUGUCAAUCUGCAAGAAAAGCUGAAUAAUACAGGUAUUAUUAAUUGAUAUUCCAGACGGUACAAAUUUGUAAAAUAUAAAAAAUCGCUUGUGAGCCAUAUAUGAUAUAUUGAAUUUUAAACUUCUUCACUUGCAAUAAUCACUUUCUUAGUUAAAUAAAACAAUAGUAUUUCAUUUCUUUUCUAGAGGAAUCAUACAUGUACAGCUAUAAACAUAGAGAUAUGUGUGCUGGUCUGUAAUUGCAAUACGUGGAUUGGCCAAGAAUUCUAAAAAUUCUUUUUAAUUGCUUUCAGUAAGGAGGUUGUGAUUUCCAAGUCGUACAGCUGUCUACUGUGGCUUCCUUGAGAUGAAACAUGACUUGCUGCAAAUGGAAUGUCAAGCUCUAAUGUACCCAAAGGCCGGAUGAGGACAAAACCAUGGCUGUUCACGCUUCAACUCAGUUUCCUGAGUAUACGCAUAGUUUGAUUGAUGUUGUCUUGGUGUUCCCGAACAUAAUAUCUGUGUGAUAACAGGAAGGGCUGAAGGUGGCUUUGGCGGCAAGAAAUAUGCCAGUGAGUACCCACAAGGAUUUUCGUUUAAAGCUACAGAUAAAAAAGGCCUUUUUGUUUAAAGUUGUUGCUUGGAAAUAGUUUUGCUCCUUUCAGUCUUAUGUUUUGUUUAAAAUUUUUGUAACCAAUCCUUCUUCGCGGGGGUGGGGGGAUUGAGGGGGUGACUGCAUUAUCAACCACUACAGUGAUUAGUAUAUUUCAUAAUAUUUAAGGUAUAUUCAUUGUUCAGUUAAGAGAACACAAGAGCUCAGCUUUUUAGAGGACCAUAAAUAUCUAAGGAUAAAUGAAAUGGGCAAAAAAGUUCCAUAUAUAUCUAUGUUGACCACAAAAACAAAGAAACUCUGCUCCAUCGCAUACCUUCACUUCCUAUGAACCGUCCAAAGGAAAGAUAUAUUCGAUUGAACAAAGAGCUAAGCUGCCUUUCAACGCAAAAGGCAUUAUUACACACAUAAGAGGGGAGAAAACAGGAAAAGAACUAUCAUACAAUAUGGAGAAAAAAAGCUCAAAACCAUUGUGCUCACGCAUAAGCAUGGAAAUAUGGGCUUUCAAGGUAGAAAAGUUAUGGCUGCAUGCCAACAAGCUUUAUCGGCAACUGGAUUAAACUGAACAACAAUUAAUGCCAGAGUUGUUGUCAGUGGAGUCCACAUUCCAUACAUUCUCAAGCAUGUUAAGAGUGACUCUGUGGUGGUAGUAAGAGAAUCGAAAAAUAAAUAAGAAUGUCUUGUUAUAUAAUUUCAUAUAGUAAGAUAGCAAGAAAAACUAACUUUCGAAAGAAGUGUUUUUGCCUCGAUAAUUAUCUAACAAGAGUGUCGAUGCAAAAGUAGUUUUUUUUCGUGAGAAAAUACCAGAUUAAAAAAAGUAACGUAGACGUCAGUUUAAGCUUAUAGGGCAAUUGAUGUGGGCCCACCCUCAUAUUUUCCACGUCAAUAGUCAAGAUGACAUCAUUAAUUAUUUAACUCUACACCAUACUUACUUGUAUGGAAUAUUUGUAUUAAAUAUACUCUUAUAGUAUCAUUUACUAAUGAAUAAUUUCUAAUAUAUGAUGUCAUUUAUAAAAUUUCAAAUAAAAGUAUUCCAAAGUAGAGGGCUAGAAUCAAAGGGUAGGGGUUGGGGUACAAAAAUAAAUAAAUAUAUGAUGUCAUUUAUAAAAUUUGUCUUCGCUAUUUUCAUUAAGGAAAUUGUUUUUCCUCAUUUUUAAGUGACUUAAUUUCCUGUUUCUUUUCAAGUCUUUGUUUUUUCGUUAAGUGAUAUGUUAGGCCCAAUUAAGCACUAAAAUGAGCUGUUAAAAGCAGUAGUGCAUAAAGCAAAAGUAAUGAAUCAUAUUUCUUAGUUGGUAGGUGUUGUCUUUUAUUGUUUUGUUUAUUUAUUUUGGUGGGCUGUACACUUAGGCAACCCACAUGAUUUUGUAUAUAUUUGCUCUUAGUUUAAUAAAAAUCCUGACCCAUCUGGUCUUUGAUUUAAAAAAAAAAGAAAAAGUAAUGAAUCAUAAAGCUAAAAAUACUUUUCUUUAUUGCCUCAAUUAUUUUCGAAUCUUUGUUUUUUCAGUCAAGAAAAGAGAAUUGUUUUGCUUCUUUCUUGUAGACAAAAGAGAGAAAUCAGUGAUCAUCUUGUUUGGGAAUUACUCUUAGCAUUCAACAGGUACAUAAAGAAGUUGUUAGUAAUUAAUGAUAGAAAAAUAUUUAUCUUAAAAAAUCAUUUUGUUUUGAAUUUGCAGAUUUCAGAAAUGGAGGUUGUCUUGGCAGUUGGUGGUGUAUUUCUCUCUUCAGCUUUGGAUGUUCUCAUUGAUAGGCUUGCUCCUCAGGGCGAUCUUCUCAAAAUGUUUCGGAAGCGUAAGAAUGAUGUUGAGCUCUUAAAGAAGCUGAAAUUGACUUUGCUUGGUCUUCAAGCUGUGCUAAGUGAUGCAGAGAAUAAGCAAGCAUCAAAUCAAUUUGUGAGAGAGUGGCUUAAUGAGCUUCGAGUUGCUGUAGACUCUGCUGAAAACUUGAUUGAACAAGUCAAUUAUGAAGCUUUGAAGCUUAAGGUGGAAGGUAAGCAUCAAAAUCUUGCAGAAAAAAUAUUGAAGCAUUGUAGAUUUUGCAGCCUGUGCUUGGGUGAUCAUUCUUUUCUUAACAUAAAUGAAAAGUUGGAAAAGACUAUUGAAACAUUGGAGAAUUUGCAAAAUCAAAUUAGUGACCUUGGCUUACAGAAACAUUUUGGUUCGACUAAACAAGAAACUAGAACUUCAACUUGUUUGGUUGAUGAAUCUGAUAUCUUUGGUUUACACAAGGAAAAAAAGGAUAUGAUUGACCGUUUAUUGUCUGAAGAUGCAAGUGGAGGAAACCUGACUGUAGUUCCUAUUGUUGGAAUGGGCGGCACGGGUAAGACAACACUAGCUAAAGUUGUUUACAAUGAUGAGAAGGUGAAGAACCAUUUUGGUUUGAAAGCUUGGUAUUGUGUUUCUGAGCCAUAUGAUGCUUUGAGAAUAACGAAAGGGUUACUUCAAGGAAUUGGCUCAUUUGACUCGAAGGAUGACGGCAAUGUUAAUCAGCUACAGGUCAAAUUGAAGGAAAGCCUGAAGGGAAAGAAGUUUCUUGUUGUCCUUGAUGAUGUGUGGAAUGAUACCUAUAGUGAGUGGGAUAACCUGAGAAAUGUUUUUGUACAAGGAGUUAUGGGAAGUAAGAUCAUUGUAACAACACGUAAGGAGAGUGUUGCUCAGAUGAUGUGUGCUGAUCGUUGCGCAAUCACCAUGGGGACUCUGUCUAGUGAAGACUCUUGGGCUUUAUUCAAACGACAUUCACUAGAAAAUAGGGAUCAUCCAGAACUUGAAGAGGUUGGGAAAAAAAUUGCAGAUAAGUGCAAAGGGUUGCCUUUAGCUCUAAAGGCACUUGCUGGUGUUUUACGCGGCAAAUCAGAGGUAGAUGAGUGGAGAAACAUUUUAAGAAGUGAAAUAUGGGACCAGCGUUGUUGGAAUGGUAUAUUACCAGCAUUGAUGUUGAGCUACAAUGAUCUUCCUGCACAUUUGAAGCGAUGCUUUGCUUUUUGUGCAAUAUAUCCCAAAGAUUAUCAAUUCUGCAAAGACAAACUUAUUUACCUGUGGAUUGCUAAUGGUCUUGUAAAGCAGUUUUGUUCAGGUAACAAAUACUUUGACGAGUUGAGAUCAAGAUCAUUGUUUGAGAGGGACCCAGAGUCUGAAUGGGAAUCAGAGAGAUUCUUAAUGCAUGAUCUUAUAAAUGAUUUGGCCCAAACUGCAUCUUCAAAACUUUGUAUUAGGUUGGAAGAGACCGAAGGAUCUGAUGAUAUGUUGGAACAAUGUCAGCACAUGUCCUAUUCCAUGGGACAAGAAGGUGAAUUUGAGAAAUUGAUACCACUCUCCAAAUCAGAGCAGCUGAGGACAUUGCUUCCAACCAAUAUCAGUAACUUUUCUGGGCUAAGCAAGAGGGUGCUACAUAACAUACUUCCAAGACUAACAUCCUUAAGGGCAUUAUCAUUGUCAGGUUAUAGGAUUACGGAGUUGCCAAAUGACUUGUUUAUCAAAUUAAAGCUCCUCAGAUUUUUGGACCUUUCUGAGACACAGAUUGAAAAGUUGCCAGAUUCCAUUUGUGUCUUGUAUAACUUGGAAACCCUUCUCCUGUCAUCUUGUGAAAAUCUUGAGGAGCUACCGCUGAAGAUGGAGAAGUUGAUCAACUUGCGUCACCUCGACAUAAGCAACACUUCUCGCUUGAAGAUGCUGCUACAUCUGAGCA
rnacentral:lncRNA from 1 species